rnacentral:rRNA from 1 species
CUGCCCCUGUCAGGGGGACAACCCGCCGAAAGGCGGGCUAAACCCGCGUACAUGCCACCGGGGCAUCCCGGAGGCAGGAAAGGCUUCGGCCGGACAGGGAUGGGCAUGCGGCGCAUUAGGCAGUAGGCGGGGUAACGGCCCACCUAACCGACGAUGCGUAGGGGUUCUGAGAGGAAGGUCCCCCACACUGGUACUGAGACACGGACCAGACUCCUACGGGAGGCAGCAGUGAGGAAUAUUGGUCAAUGGUCGGGAGACUGAACCAGCCAAGCCGCGUGAGGGAUGAAGGUACAGAGUAUCGUAAACCUCUUUUGUCAGGGAACAAAGGCGGGGACGUGUCCCCGGAUGAGUGUACCUGAAGAAAAAGCAUCGGCUAACUCCGUGCCAGCAGCCGCGGUAAUACGGAGGAUGCGAGCGUUAUCCGGAUUUAUUGGGUUUAAAGGGUGCGCAGGCGGUCUGUUAAGUCAGCGGUCAAAGCCCGGGGCUCAACCCCGGCCCGCCGUUGAAACUGGCAGUCUCGAGUUGAAGAGAAGUAUGCGGAAUGCGCGGUGUAGCGGUGAAAUGCAUAGAUAUCGCGCAGAACUCCGAUUGCGAAGGCAGCAUGCCGGCUCCACACUGACGCUGAGGCACGAAAGCGUGGGUAUCGAACAGGAUUAGAUACCCUGGUAGUCCACGCAGUAAAC